rnacentral:rRNA from 1 species
UAANCACUCCGCCUGGGGAGUACGACCGCAAGGUUGAAACUCAAAGGAAUUGACGGGGGCCCGCACAANCGGUGGAGCANNUGGUUUAAUUNGAAGCAACGCGAAGAACCUUNCCAGGUCUUGACAUCCCGUUGCNCGCUCUAGAGAUAGAGUUNUUNUUNGGAACAUCGGAGACAGGUGGNGCAUGGUNGUNGUCAGCUCGUGUCGUGAGAUGUUGGGUUAAGUCCCGCAACGAGCGCAACCNNUAUUGUUAGUUGCCAUCAUUAAGUUGGGCACUCUAGCGAGACUGCCGGUAAUAAACCGGAGGAAGGUGGGGANGACGUCAAAUCAUCAUGCCCNNUAUGACCUGGGCUACACACGUGCUACAAUGGUUGGUACAACGAGUCGCAAGCCGGUGACGGCAAGNUAAUCU